UCCGAUGGUGAACCUGCGGAGGGAUCAUUACCGAGUUUACAACUCCCAAACCCAAUGUGAACGUUACCAAACUGUUGCCUCGGCGGGGUCACGCCCCGGGUGCGUCGCAGCCCCGGAACCAGGCGCCCGCCGGAGGAACCAACCAAACUCUUUCUGUAGUCCCCUCGCGGACGUAUUUCUUACAGCUCUGAGCAAAAAUUCAAAAUGAAUCAAAACUUUCAACAACGGAUCUCUUGGUUCUGGCAUCGAUGAAGAACGCAGCGAAAUGCGAUAAGUAAUGUGAAUUGCAGAAUUCAGUGAAUCAUCGAAUCUUUGAACGCACAUUGCGCCCGCCAGUAUUCUGGCGGGCAUGCCUGUCCGAGCGUCAUUUCAACCCUCGAACCCCUCCGGGGGAUCGGCGUUGGGGAUCGGGACCCCUCACACGGGUGCCGGCCCCGAAAUACAGUGGCGGUCUCGCCGCAGCCUCUCCUGCGCAGUAGUUUGCACAACUCGCACCGGGAGCGCGGCGCGUCCACGUCCGUAAAACACCCAACUUUCUGAAAUGUUGACCUCGGAUCAGGUAGGAAUACCCGCUGAACUUAAGCAUAUCAAUAAGCGGAGGAGUCAUA
rnacentral:rRNA from 1 species